rnacentral:rRNA from 1 species
CCUACGGGAGGCAGCAGUGGGGAAUAUUGCACAAUGGGGGGAACCCUGAUGCAGCGACGCCGCGUGCGUGAAGAAGUCUUUCGGUAUGUAAAGCUCUAUCAGCAGGGAAGUAAAUGACGGUACCUGACUAAGAAGCCCCGGCUAACUACGUGCCAGCAGCCGCGGUAAUACGGAGGGGGCCAUCGUUAUCCGGAUUUACUGGGUGUAAAGGGAGCGCAGACGGCUGUGUAAGUCUGGAGUGAAAGGCGGGGGCCCAACCCCCGGACUGCAGUGGAAACUGGAAAGCUAGAGUUCAGGAGAGGUAAGCGGAAUGUGUAGUGUAGCGGUGAAAUGCGUAGAUAUUAGGAAGAACACCAGUGGCGAAGGCAGCUUACUGGACUGCAACUGACGUUGAGGCUCGAAAGCGUGGGGAGCGAACAGGAUUAGAUACCCGUGUAGUC